rnacentral:rRNA from 1 species
AUGAACGCUGGCGGCGUGCCUAAUCCAUGCACGUCGAGCGAACAGAUCAGGAGCUUGCUCCUUCGACGUUAGAAGCGGACGGGUGAGUAACACGUGGGUAACCUACCUAUAAGACUGGAAUAACUCCGGGAAACCGGGGCUAAUGCCGGAUAACAUUUAGAACCGCAUGGUUCUAAAGUGAAAGAUGGUUUUACUAUCACUUAUAGAUGGACCCGCGCCGUAUUAGCUAGUUGGUAAGGUAACGGCUUACCAAGGCAACGAUACGUAGCCGACCUGAGAGGGUGAUCGGCCACACUGGAACUGAGACACGGUCCAGACUCCUACGGGAGGCAGCAGUAGGGAAUCUUCCGCAAUGGGCGAAAGCCUGACGGAGCAACGCCGCGUGAGUGAUGAAGGUCUUCGGAUCGUAAAACUCUGUUAUUAGGGAAGAACAAAUGUGUAAGUAACUGUGCACGUCUUGACGGUACCUAAUCAGAAAGCCACGGCUAACUACGUG